CGAGCGGCGAACGGGUGAGUAACACAUCGGAACGUACCCAGACGUGGGGGAUAGCCCGGCGAAAGCCGGAUUAAUACCGCAUACGUCCUGAGGGAGAAAGCAGGGGAUCGCAAGACCUUGCGCGUUUGGAGCGGCCGAUGUCUGAUUAGCUAGUUGGUGGGGUAAAGGCCCACCAAGGCGACGAUCAGUAGCGGGUCUGAGAGGAUGAUCCGCCACACUGGAACUGAGACACGGUCCAGACUCCUACGGGAGGCAGCAGUGGGGAAUUUUGGACAAUGGGGGCAACCCUGAUCCAGCCAUUCCGCGUGAGUGAAGAAGGCCUUCGGGUUGUAAAGCUCUUUCGGCAGGAACGAAACGGUUACGGCCAAUACCCGUGACUAAUGACGGUACCUGAAGAAGAAGCACCGGCUAACUACGUGCCAGCAGCCGCGGUAAUACGUAGGGUGCGAGCGUUAAUCGGAAUUACUGGGCGUAAAGCGUGCGCAGGCGGCUUUUUAAGCCAGAUGUGAAAUCCCCGGGCUUAACCUGGGAACUGCAUUUGGAACUGGAAGGCUAGAGUGCGGCAGAGGGGGGUAGAAUUCCACGUGUAGCAGUGAAAUGCGUAGAGAUGUGGAGGAAUACCGAUGGCGAAGGCAGCCCCCUGGGUCGACACUGACGCUCAUGCACGGAAGCGUGGGGAGCAAACAGGAUUAGAUACCCUGGUAGUCCACGCCCUAAACGAUGUCUACUAGUUGUUGGAGGAGUGAAAUCCUUUAGUAACGAAGCUAACGCGUGAAGUAGACCGCCUGGGGAGUACGGUCGCAAGAUUAAAACCCAAAGGAAUUGACGGGGACCCGCACAAGCGGUGGAUGAUGUGGAUUAAUUCGAUGCAGCGCGAAGAACCUUACCUACCCUUGAC
rnacentral:rRNA from 1 species